GUACUACUCCCUCCGUCCGAAAAUACUUGUCAUUGAAAUGGAUGUAUCUAGAUGUAUUUUAAUUUUAGAUACAUCCAUUUUGAUGACAAGUAAUUCCAGACAGAUGGAGUACAUG
rfam:Triticum aestivum genome assembly, contig: Triticum_aestivum_CS42_TGACv1_scaffold_405137_5BL